rnacentral:rRNA from 1 species
AUUGAACGCUGGCGGCAGGCUUAACACAUGCAAGUCGAACGAGUGGCGGACGGGUGAGUAAUGCUUGGGAAUCUAGCUUAUGGAGGGGGAUAACUACGGGAAACUGUAGCUAAUACCGCGUACCAUAGGAUGAGCCCAAGUGGGAUUAGGUAGUUGGUGAGGUAAAGGCUCACCAAGCCGACGAUCUCUAGCUGGUCUGAGAGGAUGACCGGCGACACUGGGACUGAGACACGGCCCAGACGCCUACGUGAGGUAUCAGGGUGGAAUAUUGCGCAAUGGUGGCAACCUGAGGCAUCCAUGCAGCGGGAAUGAAGAAUGCCUGCGGGUUGUAAAGUUCUUUCGGUAGCGAGGCGUUAACUACAGAAGAAGCACCGGCUAACUCCGUGCCAGCAGCCGCGGUAAUA